rnacentral:rRNA from 1 species
GUCUUUUUGAUUUUUUUUUAAAGUCUAACCUGCCCACUGAAGUUUAAAUGGCCGCAGUAUACUGACUGUGCAAAGGUAGCAUAAUCAUUAGUCUUUUAAUUGGAGGCUGGUAUGAAUGGUUGGACGAGAUAUUAACUGUUUCAUUUGAAUUUAUUAUAGAAUUUUAUUUUUUAGUCAAAAAGCUAAAAUUUAUUUAAAAGACGAGAAGACCCUAUAAAUCUUUAUAUUUUUUUGUAUUAUUAUUAUUUUGUAUUAUUAUUUAAUAAUAUAAAUUUAGUAUUUUAUUGGGGUGAUAUUAAAAUUUAAUUAACUUUUAAUUUUAGUAUUCAUUAAUUAAUGAUUAAUUGAUCCGUUAUUAACGAUUAAAAAAUUAAGUUACUUUAGGGAUAACAGCGUAAUUUUUUUGGAGAGUUCAUAUCGAUAAAAAAGAUUGCGACCUCGAUGUUGGAUUAAGAUAUAAUUUUAGGUGUAGUAGCUUAAAUUUUAAGUCUGUUCGACUUUUAAAUUCUUACGUG